AGACCCACCCCCAGAGCCUGACGCGGGGCAACGUGUGUCCUUCUGUCUCCUUGAUGAUCAACCCCAGGUGUCCAUAUGUGGAGGCAAGGGAUCCUCGACUGCUUCACCACCUGGAAGACCGUGCUGGCCAACCUGUCACUGCUCGUCACAGAAUUUAGGUCUGCAUUUCAAAAGGAAACGUCCUUCUUUGCCACAUAUCCAAUCAGAGCUCAGAUGCUACCUACUGCAGCACAAUCCAAUGCACAUGCAGUCUUUGGAACCUGGCAGCUGACCUCAACUAAGCAGCUCUACCCCAAAAGCCAGACAUUCCUCACUGUCCCCCACACCACUUCCUAGAGAAAUAGGUUCCAUAGAUCUGUCCAUUCUGAGUCAACCUUGCUGCAAUUGGACCCUACUGCAUGCAACUCACUGCUAGUCCAGUUCCCUCCCUCUGCAAAUGAUCCAGAACGUAGCAAUAUCUGGUGUUACAACCUUUCCAUGUCCUCCUAUGUCAUACCACUCCUCCACUGGUUUCCUGAGGAUGCUUACAUCAAAUGUAAUACUCUGUUGCUUGAUUCAGUGCAGUGAAGGGCACUCCUCUUCCUUUUUUCAACAGUGAACAUCUAAAUAGAGGAUGAUAAGUGUGUGUGUUUGUUUUUCCAUGCCGCUGCUGCCUUCACCCCUAUUACAGCGCUUCUUUACAUGUUGCCUUGUAUGUGUUUGUGACUGAACUGAUUAACAUGUUACAAAUAUGAACUAUACACCCUUUGACACAAUCCCUGUCUCCAUGAUGGAUAACGUCCUGGAACUAUGAAGUGCUCCUGAAAGCGAAUUAUUAUAUUUUCAUGGGUUAUUUGUCGUUUUUCUCUUAUUACCGGUGUUUUUGUAAAAAGAGGGCGACCAAAUUACCACCUCAUCGACAGGGGGAUUGUGCGAUAGAUCUCCAGGUUAACGCUGCGCUUCCCAAGAGUCACGUGUACCCCUUGUCACAGGAGGAGACGGUGGCUAUGGAGACAUAUGUCAUGGAA